rnacentral:rRNA from 2 species
GGAGCUUGCUCCCUGAGAUUAGCGGCGGACGGGUGAGUAACACGUGGGCAACCUGCCUAUAAGACUGGGAUAACUUCGGGAAACCGGAGCUAAUACCGGAUACGUUCUUUUCUCGCAUGAGAGAAGAUGGAAAGACGGUUUACGCUGUCACUUAUAGAUGGGCCCGCGGCGCAUUAGCUAGUUGGUGAGGUAAUGGCUCACCAAGGCGACGAUGCGUAGCCGACCUGAGAGGGUGAUCGGCCACACUGGGACUGAGACACGGCCCAGACUCCUACGGGAGGCAGCAGUAGGGAAUCUUCCGCAAUGGACGAAAGUCUGACGGAGCAACGCCGCGUGAACGAAGAAGGCCUUCGGGUCGUAAAGUUCUGUUGUUAGGGAAGAACAAGUACCAGAGUAACUGCUGGUACCUUGACGGUACCUAACCAGAAAGCCACGGCUAACUACGUGCCAGCAGCCGCGGUAAUACGUAGGUGGCAAGCGUUGUCCGGAAUUAUUGGGCGUAAAGCGCGCGCAGGUGGUUCCUUAAGUCUGAUGUGAAAGCCCACGGCUCAACCGUGGAGGGUCAUUGGAAACUGGGGAACUUGAGUGCAGAAGAGGAAAGUGGAAUUCCAAGUGUAGCGGUGAAAUGCGUAGAGAUUUGGAGGAACACCAGUGGCGAAGGCGACUUUCUGGUCUGUAACUGACACUGAGGCGCGAAAGCGUGGGGAGCAAACAGGAUUA